rnacentral:SRP_RNA from 1 species
UGACUACAGGGGACUCUAAGCCCUCAUCGAGCGCUGAAUCAGGAGCUGGCGCAGGAGCUGGGGAUAAGGUGGUUGCUUUUGAAGGAGAGGAGGGGGCUGGAAAAGGAGCAGUGAAGAC